GGGUCAGGAGGAGGAAGAGGAGGAGGAAGGAACUAUUGGCAGAAUUCCAGGUUCUGAGCUCCAGCCCCACGGAACUUUGGGAAUAAAAAUCAGGCUUGGGCUGUGCAGGUUCCAAGUCGCAGGGCCUCCAUGGCUGGCAAGCAUCAGGCCGGAAACUCUGCUGAAUAGAGCCCUAAAUGUUUUUUUGUUUGACAUUCAUGCUUAACAGAAAAUGAUGAAUCCAUUAGCAACCCCUUCUGUUGCCAAAAGAAACAGACUCGCGCUCGGCGAUUGCUUUCACCGUGCUAUCAAGCCACCACAUGCUCCACUCACAAAGCUGACAGCCAUCCAUCACUUUCAAACGGGCUUAGAGCUCUUGAGGUGAAUACCAAUAAUUAAUAGCGUGCCUCAAAGGAGAAAAAAGAACCAGCCGAUCAGCAUUGUAAAGAUGCUGUGUCCUACAGAACCGCAAAGUACAGCAGGUUUUCAAAGGGUCGUCCAAGAGAAUUGGGACAGACUAUAUUCCCAGCUAGCAGGGAAUCGCUUUUCUGUGUCCUGCAGGGAGAAAUCUUGUCCUUAGAAAUUUAAAGUUUCACCCGACAGAACCUCGGCCUCCAGGAGCCUCAAUUUAUCUGCUCUAGAGGAAGACCGCGGAAACACAAUCUGAAGGCACCAGACCCUUGUUUCCAUGGUGAGAUUUCCAAAGAGCGACAGAACAUUCAAUUCUGCCACUGCAGCUAUGGGGUGUGGGUAUAUUUAAGAACCUACCUUAUGUUAACACAAAGGCACACAAAGCACUGGUCGCUUCUGUAACUAGGAACAGGGUCAUCGUGGGAGGACAUUGUAGACACUUAGCUUGAAAGGUAUUGGGUUGGAUGCACCUGUCAAGCUCACUAAUGUGAAAAGUGAAGGGGUUGAUCCCGACAGUAUUCACAGUCUGUUUUAGGUGUGCAAAGUCUGUGGCCCUGAUUAACUCACUCGGUUUCACUACUGUGCCAGCUUCUUUCCAACUCUCAAACCAAUCCCUGUAUCACCAUGCAAUUAAGUAUUUCUUUCCAUAAAUUACAUAGUUUUAAUGAUUUGUUUGUUUUCCUUUUUUGUGUAUGAGUGUUUGCCUACAUGCACUCAUAUGCACCUGGUGCAUGACUGCUGCUCUCAGAGGCCAGAAGAGGGAGUAGGAUCCCCCCCCCCCAGAGUGGGAGUGACCAACAAUUGUGAGUUACC